rnacentral:lncRNA from 1 species
CUGGUUCGGGAUCACAGAGAUCCUACGCCCAGUUGUUACUCUCAAUAGAGAAUUAACGCUUCACUAGCACAAACCAACAAAAUGUUACAAUAACAAAGAAAAUAAAACAGUUUAAGGUUAGAACACCUCUCUUGUUACCCCAAGAUGAAACUCAUAUCCUCUGUAACCCACAAGGGGUGAACACCUCCUUUGAAUCUUCACAAAGGAUGAACACUUCCUUUGAAUGCUUCGCGAAGGAUGACACGUUUUCAACUCAACAACAUCAACAACACUCAAUCACACUCCCUG